UAUGAGCAUAAAUGAUGUAUGCUUUGUUGGGUAAGAAUCUGACCUAAAAAAAUUGGCUUCACUUCACAGUUUAAAAUAGACUUUUUCCUUAGACAGAUCAAAGAUACCUAGCAUUCAGCUAUGUUCAAAGGCUGCCAGGGAACUUCUGCUUGCCAACAGCAAGGACACGGGGACAGGCCCUUGUUGCUGUGUGAGCGAGGCCUGUGGGUGAUUAAAGAGGAUGGACGGGCUUGUCCACAGGGAAGCGUGGCGUAGGUGAGUGGAGCAGAUGAAGUGAAAUCUACCCAGAGCACUGGGCUGUGUGUGAGACCUCGGCUUACUUUUAUACUUCCUACGGCUAGUCUGGAAAACCUUUCAAUCCAAAGUAAUCAUUAGAAGACACAAAAAUCCAAAAUGUGAGAGAAGAAAAGACUAAUGAAAGCAGAGGUUCCCUGUUCAGCUGUUUCUAAGCCAACGAGAAGAGCAGCAGGCACUCCGAUAACUUCCACACAGUCCAUUUUUAUUAUUCUUCAACUAACAGGCAAGAAGCCAGAGCUCCUGUAAAUAUAUGCAUAAUUCAUUUGUAAGCAGUCAGACCUCUACUUUUAUGGCUCAGCUGGCAGACAGAGGAGAAACAACUAGACAUCAGAGACUACAGUUGGAUGUUGGAAAGCAGCAGCUUGACUUCAGAAGGACAGCUUGAUGGCUUAAUUUCAGAGAAGAAUCUGACUGGAGACCAGCCAGACUUCAGGGCAAGACCUUUCUAUUCUGUCCCCUUUUUAGCUUCCCUUUCUACUCAGAGCCACUUUCAUUGGCAAUAAAAUCCCCUGCAAUAAAAUACCA